GAUUAAUUAAUAACUAGUAAUUUUAUCCGCCAAAAAAAUAAGUUGAAAAAAUUUAUUUGCAAUUUCGAAUUAAUAACUCUGACAUUAAUUUCGAGCGAUAAUAUCCUUAAUUACGAAGUAAAAAUCGACCCAGUUUAGAUACCCAUAAAAUAAGAUCCUGCGCGGGCAUGAUCUACCUUAGAACAGAGAAUUUUGAAUUUUUUGCAUAAAUGAAUGAUCAGGAGUUGAUCAAUUCGAAGAUCUUAUAGUUCUACAGAAUCUUGCAGUGAAAGAACGAUGAACGCGCGAGGAUGUGCAUUGUGCCGGGAUAGUUUUCACAUUGACGCAUCUGAUAGAGUCUUGGACUCAUGUCCGUGGAUUACUCAAACAAAAGGAAACACUGCCUCGGCCAAAGGAAAAGGAUGUCGUUGGAAAAAAAUUGGUCGAUCUAAUGGUCGUGGUAUUUCACGUUAAUGAGCGUCACUGGAGAUUCUUUUUUUUCUUGUGGGAACUUUGAUUGCAUCAUCGUGUAUUACAGACUAUAAGAAUUUGUCGGUUUUCUCAGAUCAGCGAUCGGUCGGUGUGUUCGAAUUUCCUCGAUGCUUUUAUUGGCCUCCAAUUUUUGUCUGCAUACGUAUAACGUACUUUCAUGAGCCAGCAUUUCUUCAAAAAAGACAAUCGACUGGGAACCUAAUUUUUCAAAAUAUUCAACGGUCACGCAUGAAUUUUCGAAGAUUUUGCAUCAUCCUUGGCACACCGGGCUAAUAAUGUCACCUAUUCGCGUUCAGUGGCAGAUCUUGUGGUUCACAAACGCAGUUGAAUACUUAAUUUUACUAUAAAUUAUUAUGAUCAGUCGUAAAUUCUUCUCAGUCAUUGGGAUUUUUUCAUUAGCGAUAAAUACUAUAAUUAAGGUAGCAAAAUCGUUGGUUACGUAUUGUAAAAUUGCAUAAAAACUUUUAAUAUUUAACAGAACGACGUUCCGCCCUCGUUUGGCAGAUUUUAAAACACUUAUUUUAUCUUAUCGUAAUUGAGGAAAGUUUGCAAUCAUAAAAAAAUCCUCGAAGUGUAAAAAAUUCAACUUAACAAAAAAGGCCACUAAAAAAUUUGUCGAAAAGAUUUUUUUUCAAUUUCUCAUUCCAUGCAAUUGAUGUAAUUAGAAACAAUUUUAAGAUGGCAAAAGAUAUCUUGUUCGAUCAACAUUUUUCUUGUUAAUCUAGAAUCGUUAAAUUUGGCUUUUUGUACUCACUAGUGACGAGCAGGGAGCCCAGAAUACACAUUAAAUAAAGACUCAUGUUCUGUGCUUUUUUGACUAACUUUUAUUCACCAUCAGAUUAGAGUUUCACGGUUUUAUUACAGUACCGGCAAGUUCGAUUGCUGCACAAGCUUGUUAGAACCGAAUUAAUAAAAAACGCGAAUUCGAUCGUAGAACUGGCGAAAUUGAUUUUUUUUUUUUUUUAACACGAGAAAGCACAAUUUUUUUCAAUAUUAUGUUUGUGUCAUGGCGCGAGUUAAAAAUGAAUGUUGAGCGAGAGAGCGAGUGAAGAAAUGUCCGGCGAUAUGACCGUUUUGCUGACGGCGGUAGACUGAACUUCGUCGAUCCUCAACAAGCACGUUAAAUAACGCACUCGGUCUGUCGUGACUCCUUUUCUGGUUGGCUUCCGUACAUCCUCCAACAUUUAAACAGGUCUAACCGAACCCGAACGCUCCGCUGCACUAUUCUCCACCGUUCCUUCGCUUCUCGAUUCGAAACAUGUGGAGUAAGGAAUCUCAGGUCAAAAGCCGGCUGUCGAGGACCCUCGGCUUCGUCCACCGAUGGAUAUCAAGAUUCGAUUAUCCAAAUCUGGUUUUUUCACAGGUUUUUCAAGCAGUAGACGAAGCCACUGUGAAAUAUGAUGGAACGAAGAUGCUGCAAUUGAAGUUUCGACUCAUGCUUGAUUUCAAACUUUUUUCGAGUUCCUUGAACGAUGAUUUUUCAAUGACAAAAAUUCAGCUGAGAAUCUGCUUGAUAUUAAAUAAAGAAUUAUUGUACAAGAGUGCAAUGGAAAGGAGUGGUUGCGCUGCUUUGCUUUGAAAUCUUCCAUAGGACGAUAAAGAUUAAUUUUAAUGAUUACUGCAAUCUCGUUCAACGGUACGAAUAAAAAUAAAAGCGAGAAGAUAACGCUGGCACCAAUGAUUCGAGAGGUUCUCUAAUUUUUUUCCAAUUUCUUCGACCUCCCACCAAAAUUUUCCACGAUACCGAGAUGCUAUAAAAUUAUUGAUUUUUCUAUAAACGAGAAAAUAUCUUGGCCCCUGAGUCCAGAGCCAUCCUAACAGCGGGCAAGAUUUUAUUCUCGAAAGAAAAAUAAGAUAAAUGAUUUAAAAAAAGACACGAGUUUCCCCCUGAGACCUGGAGAAAAGGAAACACUUUUCUAGUCCAACAACUUUUUUCCACAGCUUCGCCCAUCGGAAUUACGUGGGCAGCUACACGAGAGAGCUCUAACUGCAUUAGAAUAGACCUUGUGAGCGAGUUAAAAUUACAGAACAAAGAGUGCACCGUUUCUUUUCAUUGUAACGAUCCCAAUUGAAUGAAAAAAAUAUAUUAAUAUUGUGGCCUCGAAAAAUUUGUCAGAUGAUUCAAAUUUUGAGAAAAUAAAUCAUUUUGAGAAAAUAA